rnacentral:misc_RNA from 1 species
AACGGUCUAUACCUGCGGUACCUGCGGAGGGAUCAUUACCGAGUUUACAACUCCCAAACCCAAUGUGAACCAUACCAAACUGUUGCCUCGGCGGGGUCACGCCCCGGGUGCGUCGCAGCCCCGGAACCAGGCGCCCGCCGGAGGGACCAACCAAACUCUUUCUGUAGUCCCCUCGCGGACGUUAUUUCUUACAGCUCUGAGCAAAAAUUCAAAAUGAAUCAAAACUUUUAACAACGGAUC